rnacentral:rRNA from 1 species
AGAGUUUGAUCCUGGCUCAGAAUCAACGCUGGCGGCGUGCCUAACACAUGCAAGUCGAACGCGGUUACCCCGCAAGGGGUGACUGAGUGGCAAACGGGUGAGUAACACGUGGGUGACCUACCUUCGAGUGGGGGAUAACGUUUCGAAAGGAACGCUAAUACCGCAUGACAUCCUGCUUUUGGACAGGUGGAGAUCAAAGCCGGGGAUCGCAAGACCUGGCGCUUGGAGAGGGGCCCGCGUCCGAUUAGCUAGUUGGUGAGGUAACGGCUCACCAAGGCGACGAUCGGUAUCCGGCCUGAGAGGGCGGACGGACACACUGGGACUGAGACACGGCCCAGACUCCUACGGGAGGCAGCAGUGGGGAAUUGUUCGCAAUGGGCGCAAGCCUGACGACGCAACGCCGCGUGGAGGAUGAAGGUCUUCGGAUUGUAAACUCCUGUUGAUCGGGACGAACAACCAUCGGGAUAACACCCCGGAGGUCUGACGGUACCGAUUGAGGAAGCCCCGGCUAACUCUGUGCCAGCAGCGGCGGUAAUAC